rnacentral:tRNA from 1 species
GGGCUUAUAGCUCAGUUGGCUAGAGCGUCCGGCUGAUAACCGGGAGGUCGCUGGUUCGAAUCCAGCUAAGCCCACCA